AUUGAACGCUGGCGGCAUGCCUUACACAUGCAAGUCGAACGGUAACGGGCCUUCGGGUGCCGACGAGUGGCGAACGGGUGAGUAAUGUAUCGGAACGUACCUUUCAGUGGGGGAUAACGUAGCGAAAGUUACGCUAAUACCGCAUAUUCUGUGAGCAGGAAAGCAGGGGAUCGCAAGACCUUGCGCUGAUUGAGCGGCCGAUGUCAGAUUAGCUAGUUGGUGAGGUAAAGGCUCACCAAGGCGACGAUCUGUAGCGGGUCUGAGAGGAUGAUCCGCCACACUGGAACUGAGACACGGUCCAGACUCCUACGGGAGGCAGCAGUGGGGAAUUUUGGACAAUGGGGGCAACCCUGAUCCAGCCAUGCCGCGUGAGUGAAGAAGGCCUUCGGGUUGUAAUACGCUGUCAGUGGGGAGGAAAUAUUAGGUGGGUUCGUCCCGUAUCAGUUUGACCUAUCCGCAGAGGAAGGACGGGCUAAGUUCGUGCCAGCAGCCGAC
rnacentral:rRNA from 1 species